AGAUUGUGUCAUGUACGAAAUGCGCAAAAGAAAAGUGCGAUGCGAUUUCCCGCUCCAGAUUGGGUUUACGAUUUUAGAACUCAGUAAAUUAACCAUGUACUCAUUCUACUACGAAACUCUGCUGAGCAAGCUCACUUGUCCGGUGAUUACCUGCUACUUUGACACGGAUUCUUUGAUCCUCGGCCUAUUCUGCAAGGACUACGAAGAUCAGUUACGAGCGAUCGCCGACGACCACUUAGAUUUGUCUUCCUUUGAUCGGGAUCAUCCACUGUACAGUGAAAAGAAUCGUGGAAGACUUGGGGCAUUCAAAAGCGAAACUGGUAGUGUACCUAUCGAAGAAGUAAUAUGCUUGAAAGCUAAAAUGUACUCUAUCAAACUAGCUGGAGAAAAGCAAAUUGCAAGAGCUAAAGGGGUAAAGAAAAAUAUUGUACGCAAGCACCUCCUCCAUGAGACAUACCACGAUACCUUGUUCAAUCACACGAGCGUAUCGAAUGAGCAAGUGUCAAUAGUUGGAAAGAAACAGUGCAUGUACACCAUCAGAAAUGUCAAAAGAAGUCUGAUGGCAUAUGACGACAAGCGAUACCUCUGCAAUGACAUCGAAUCCUACCCUUACGGAAGCUGUGAAUAUGAAGAUGUGCAGGAAGAGAACUGAUACUUCUGUGACAUGCUGUUCUCGCGUGCUGUCUGGGACUCAGCCGUGGAUGGAGAAGGACGAACGCCUGGGUGAUCCACAUGGUACUUAUGCGAAAAACGCCAUGGAUGUUAAUGGAAAUGUCCAGUGUGCCUGGAAGUGCCCCAGAGAGAACUACAAUCUCUCUGAGACUGCCAUGAUGUACUCAAUAAACAUUGAAAACUA